GAUGAACGCUGGCGGCGUGCUUAACACAUGCAAGUCGAACGAAGCACUUAAGAUUGAUUCUUCGGAUGACGUCUUUUGUGACUUAGUGGCGGACGGGCGAGUAACGCGUGGGUAACCUGCCUCACACAGGGGGAUAACAGUUAGAAAUGACUGCUAAUACCGCAUAACCCGAUAGGAUCGCAUGAUCCAGACGGAAAAGAUUUAUCGGUGUGAGAUGGACCCGCGUCUGAUUAGCUAGUUGGUGAGGUAACGGCCCACCAAGGCGACGAUCAGUAGCCGGCCUGAGAGGGUGAACGGCCACAUUGGGACUGAGACACGGCCCAAACUCCUACGGGAGGCAGCAGUGGGGAAUAUUGCACAAUGGGGGAAACCCUGAUGCAGCGACGCCGCGUGAGUGAAGAAGUAUUUCGGUAUGUAAAGCUCUAUCAGCAGGGAAGAAAAUGACGGUACCUGACUAAGAAGCCCCGGCUAACUACGUG
rnacentral:rRNA from 1 species